UACGAGGGGGGCAAAUGUUGUUCGGAAUCACUGGGCGUAAAGGGAGCGUAGGCGGGUUCCUAAGUCAGGUGUUUAAUCCCGGGGCCCAACCCCGGACAGGCACUUGAAACUGGGAAUCUUGAAUAGUGGAGAGGUCAGUGGAAUUGGGGGUGUAGCGGUGGAAUGCGUAGAGAUCCCCAAGAACACCAGUUGCGAAGGCGGCUGACUGGACACAUAUUGACGCUGAGGCUCGAAAGCAUGGGGAGCAAACAGG
rnacentral:rRNA from 1 species